UUGCACGCUGGCGGCAUGCCUUACCCCUGCAAGUCGCACGGCAGCACGGGUGCUUGCACCUGGUGGCGAGUGGCGAACGGGUGAGUAAUACAUCGGAACAUGUCCUGUAGUGGGGGAUAGCCCGGCGAAAGCCGGAUUAAUACCGCAUACGAUCCACGGAUGAAAGCGGGGGACCUUCGGGCCUCGCGCUAUAGGGUUGGCCGAUGGCUGAUUAGCUAGUUGGUGGGGUAAAGGCCUACCAAGGCGACGAUCAGUAGCUGGUCUGAGAGGACGACCAGCCACACUGGGACUGAGACACGGCCCAGACUCCUACGGGAGGCAGCAGUGGGGAAUUUUGGACAAUGGGCGAAAGCCUGAUCCAGCAAUGCCGCGUGUGUGAAGAAGGCCUUCGGGUUGUAAAGCACUUUUGUCCGGAAAGAAAUCCUUGGCUCUAAUACAGUCGGGGGAUGACGGUACCGGAAGAAUAAGCACCGGCUAACUACGUG
rnacentral:rRNA from 1 species